rnacentral:misc_RNA from 1 species
AACGCACGAGACCUGCGGACCUGCGGAGGGAUCAUUAAUGAGAAACUGCCCCUCGCGGGUAGAUCUCCCACCCUUUGUAAACUUACCUUUGUUGCUUUGGCAGGCCCGUCUCCGGACCGCCGGCUUCGGCUGGCCAGUGCCUGCCAGAGGAUUCUAAAACUCUGUCUGUCAGUGUUGUCUGAGUCUAUUUACAAUCGUUAAAACUUUUAACAACGGAUCUCUAGAUCGGAAGAGCACACG